rnacentral:rRNA from 1 species
AACAGGAUUAGAUACCCUGGUAGUCCACGCCCUAAACGAUGUCUACUAGUUGUCGGGUUUUAAUUAACUUGGUAACGCAGCUAACGCGUGAAGUAGACCGCCUGGGGAGUACGGUCGCAAGAUUAAAACUCAAAGGAAUUGACGGGGACCCGCACAAGCGGUGGAUGAUGUGGAUUAAUUCGAUGCAACGCGAAAAACCUUACCUACCCUUGACAUGUACGGAAGCCACGAGAGAUCGAGGCGUGCUCGAAAGAGAGCCGUAACACAGGUGCUGCAUGGCUGUCGUCAGCUCGUGUCGUGAGAUGUUGGGUUAAGUCCCGCAACGAGCGCAACCCUUGUCAUUAGUUGCUACGAAAGGGCACUCUAAUGAGACUGCCGGUGACAAACCGGAGGAAGGUGGGGAUGACGUCAAGUCCUCAUGGCCCUUACGGGUAGGGCUUCACACGUCAUACAAUGGUACAUACAGAGGGCCGCCAACCCGCGAGGGGGAGCUAAUCCCAGAAAGUGUAUCGUAGUCCGGAUUGUAGUCUGCAACUCGACUGCAUGAAGUUGGAAUCGCUAGUAAUCGCGGAUCAGCAUGUCGCGGUGAAUACGUUCCCGGGUCUUGUACACACCGCCCGUCACACCAUGGGAGCGGGUUUUACCAGAAGUAGGUAGCUUAACCGCAAGGGGGGCGCUUACCACGGUAGGAUUCGUGACUGGGGUGAAGUCGUAACAAGGUAACC